GCCUUUUACAUGGCUCAGUGGUUAGAGCGUAGGUCUUGUAACCGAAAGGUUGCGGGAUCGAAUCCCGCUAGAGGCU
rnacentral:tRNA from 1 species